rnacentral:rRNA from 1 species
GUGUCAGCAGCCGCGGUAAUACGGAGGGUGCGAGCGUUGUUCGGAAUUAUUGGGCGUAAAGCGCGCGUAGGCGGGACGACGAGUCCGGUGUGAAAUCCCUCGGCUCAACCGGGGAAUUGCACUGGAUACUGGCGACCUUGAGUCCUGGAGAGGGUGGCGGAAUUCCCAGUGUAGAGGUGAAAUUCGUAGAUAUUGGGAGGAACACCGGUGGCGAAGGCGGCCACCUGGACAGUGACUGACGCUGAGGCGCGAAAGCAUGGGUAGCAAACAGGAUUAGAAACCCUGGUAGUCC